rnacentral:miRNA from 1 species
UAUGUGCAUAUGUAUGUGUGUAUGUGCACGUGUGUACAGAUGUAUGUAUUUGUGUAUGUGUGUACGUAUGGGUGCAUGCAUGCA